ensembl:lncRNA
GCAAUGGAAGGCAAGAACACCAUCAAGGAUACAACAGAGCAUAACAUUCGGACUCUUUAGGGUCACAAACAGUGAAGAAAAAGUGGAGGAAACACCACGUGGGAGGUUCCUGGGUUGAUUUACCCCUGUCUUCAGCUGUGUGACCUCAGGCAAGAAUAAGCAGCUGACAAGUUGGAAGCAACGAUGGGGGGUGGGCCUGGCGACACAGCUGCGGAGUCCCUUCCUCCCCCUGGAACCACCUUCAGCUGCUGCAGAUCUCUUUCCAGGAAGGCUGCUUCUCCUUUCCCUCCAGCCUAGAUCUGAAACUCAGUGAUGAAUUUCUGCUGCUUUCAGAAACAAUUCAAGUUUCCCUUGUGUAUUUCACGGCAAGAAAAGAAACUCAUUCAGAUCACCUGCUCUGCUCUCCUCCUUGGUGACUAUUUUCCACACUGAUAUCCUACACAAAAGGCCGUGCCCCUCUUGAUGGCUGGGAGAUGCUGAAGUUGCUCCUGACCUAUCUACAUGCUGAAGAGGGACUCAGAAAGCUGGAUUGGCCCUGAGGUUGCAGCUGAAAGAGGAGCUUCAGUUUUUUUUCUUGAAUAUUAGAAACUAUUAUUUUUCCUUCAUUCUUGAAAGACUAGGUAAUAUUAACAAAUUGAAAAUAAUUUCAAGAUGUUAAGGAACCUCCCCACUCCUGUUCCCUUGUAUGU